rnacentral:rRNA from 1 species
GACGAACGCUGGCGGCGUGCCUAAUACAUGCAAGUUGAGCGAUGAAGAUUGGUUCUUGCACUAAUUUGAAGAGCAGCGAACGGGUGAGUAACGCGUGGGGAAUCUGCCUUUGAGCGGGGGACAACAUUUGGAAACGAAUGCUAAUACCGCAUAACAACUUUAAACAUAAGUUUUAAGUUUGAAAGAUGCAAUUGCAUCACUCAAAGAUGAUCCCGCGUUGUAUUAGCUAGUUGGUGAGGUAAAGGCUCACCAAGGCGAGGAUACAUAGCCGACCUGAGAGGGUGAUCGGCCACAUUGGGACGGGGACACGGACCAAACUCCUGCGGGAGGGAGCAGUAGGGAAUCUUCGGCAAUGGACGAAAGUCUGACCGAGCAACGCCGAGUGAGUGAAGAAGGUGUUCGGAUCGUAAAACUCUGUUGGUAGAGAAGAACGUUGGUGAGAGUGGAAAGCGCAUCGAGUGACGGUAACUACCCAGAAAGGGACGGCUAACUACGUG